UCAGGAUGAACGCUGGCGGCGUGCUUAACACAUGCAAGUCGAACGGAGUUUUAACGGAAGUUUCGGAUGGAAGUUUAGAAACUUAGUGGCGGACGGGUGAGUAACGCGUGGGUAACCUGCCUCAUACAGGGGGAUAACAGUUAGAAAUGACUGCUAACACCGCAUAAUAUAGCGAAACCGCAUGAUUUUGCUAUCAAAUAUUUAUAGGUAUGAGAUGGGCCCGCGUCUGAUUAGCUAGUUGGUGGGGUAAAAGCCUACCAAGGCGACGAUCAGUAGCCGGCUUGAGAGAGUGACCGGCCACAUUGGGACUGAGACACGGCCCAAACUCCUACGGGAGGCAGCAGUGGGGAAUAUUGGACAAUGGGGGAAACCCUGAUCCAGCGACGCCCGCGUGAGUGAAGAAGUAUUUCGGUAUGUAAAGCUCUAUCAGCAGGGAAGAUAAUGACAGUACCUGACUAAGAAGCCCCGGCUAACUACGUGCCAGCAGCAGC
rnacentral:rRNA from 1 species